AGGUGAGCAGCAGCUCUCAAGUCAGAUCUCAAAGCAGCACCGAGCAAAACAAAAAUCAAACGAACAUUCCUUACACCAAUCAUGAAAGAGGAGGUCCAGUGUUCUGCGGACAUCUGGGAGAAAGCCUAAACCUUCAGAAGGGGAAGGGAAGAAAGUGGGGGAAAUGAGAAACCCUUUCCAAGCUCAGGGCUAACAACGCUGACUGGUCGGAAAACAACUGUAAUGGAAAC